rnacentral:rRNA from 1 species
GACGAACGCUGGCGGCGUGCUUAACACAUGCAAGUCGAACGGUAAGGCCCUUCGGGGUACACGAGUGGCGAACGGGUGAGUAACACGUGGGUGAUCUGCCCUGCACUUCGGGAUAAGCCUGGGAAACUGGGUCUAAUACCGGAUAGGGCCACUGCCUGCAUGGGUGGGGGUGGAAAGCUUUUGCGGUGUGGGAUGGGCCCGCGGCCGAUCAGCUUGUUGGUGGGGUGAUGGCCUACCAAGGCGACGACGGGUAGCCGGCCUGAGAGGGUGACCGGCCGCACUGGGACUGAGAUCCGGCCCAGACUCCGACGGUGGGCAGCAGUGGGGAAUAUUGCACAAUGGGCGCAAGCCUGAUGCAGCGACGCCGCGUGAGGGAUGACGGCCUUCGGGUUGUAAACCUCUUUCAGCACCGACGAAGCGCAAGUGACGGUAGGUGCAGAAGAAGGACCGGCCAACUACGUGCCAGCAGCCGCAGUAA